rnacentral:tRNA from 1 species
GCCGGAGUGGCGGAAUGGCAGACGCGCUGGACUCAAAAUCCAGUCUACGCAAGUAGGUGUGGGUUCAAGUCCCACCUCCGGCA